AGCGGAUGCAGUAAAUAUCUAAUUCUUUCUACCUGUCCAGUGGGCCUCAGUCUCCCAGCGGACACCGUAAAUACCUAUUUCUCCUCUGCCUGUCCAGCGAGCACUAGUCUCUCAGCGGACACAGAAAUAUCUAUUGGUUUCCCCUGCCUGUCCAGCGAGCACUAGUCUCCCAGCGGACACAGAAAUAUCUAUUGGUUUCCCCUGUCUGUCCAGUGAGCCCCAGCCUCCCAGCGGACGCAGUAAUAUCUAUUUGUUCUCUGUCUGUCCAGCGAGCACUAGUCUCUCAGCGGAUGCAGUAAAUAUCUAUUUUUCCUCUACCUGUCCAGUGAGCCUCAGCCUCCCAGCGGACGCAGUAAUAUCUAUUUGUUUCCCUGUCUGUCCAGGAGCACUAGUCUCUCAGCGGAUGCAGUAAAUAUCUAAUUCCUUCUACCUGUCCAGUGGGCCUCAGUCUCCCAGCGGACACCGUAAAUACCUAUUUCUCCUCUGCCUGUCCAGCGAGCACUAGUCUCUCAGCGGACGCAGUAUGCAUCCAUCUCUUCCUGUUCUUCGUCCAGCAAGCCCAGUCUUCCAGCUGACGCAGGGACAUAAUUCGUCUCCCAUAUCUGUCCAGCGAGCCUCAGUCUCCCAGCGGACGCAGUAAUAUCUAUUGGUUUCCCCUGCCUGUGCAGCGAGCACUAGUCUCCCAGCGGAUGCAGUAAUAUCUUUGGUUUCCCCUGUCUGUCCAGCGAGCCUCAGUCUCCCAGCGGACACAGAAAUAUCUAUUGGUUUCAUGCUGUUUUAUAACAAAGUUCGGGAGGAACAGUCGCAGUUCAUUAACCUGAUUAACACAAGUGGAGACCAAUCAGUAAUCUACUCAUGACAAGGUAUAAAUAACAGCAGAACCUACCUAUGUUCAUUGACAGUUUUCAGCAUCCCUCCUCCACCCCAUUUCUCCUCACUUAAAGAUCCAUCUAUUCUUACCACAACCGGGGGGAGUACUCUGGGUUCGGGCCACAUCCCGAGCUCGGAGCCCUCCACCCGGACAGCACGCCAAAUACGCAUAAACUUACGGUAUUAAUAUACGUAGAUGUGAACUCGUGAACACAGAUUUAGACAGAUUUGUGAGCAAUAUUUGAGAGAAAUAGGCCUUUUGUGUACAUAGAAAAAGUCUUAGAUCUUUGAGUUCAGCUCAUGAAAAAUGUGGGCAAAAACAAAAGUGUUGCGUUUAUAAUUUUGUUCAGUGUAUGUUAUG
ensembl:lncRNA